UGCUUGUUGUCGGCUGCUUUUGUGACCAACAUACUUGAGUGCUGAGUGUUUUCACUAAGGAAAAAGAAGAUCCUUUCUAAUGGAUGCAGACUGACCGUUGUAAAAUGUCAUUGGACUCCACUAGAAAGUUGUAAAAGAGCAUUUAGAAACCAUUAACUUUGAGGUUCUGGUCAACUGAUUGCCUGGCAAUUGCACUCAGCCUGAUCUAUAAAAGAAAGGGUCUUUGAGCUGUUCUUGUCUCUCCUGCACAGGUAUGAAAUUACUUGUUCUGAGAUGUUUUUUGGCCCUUAUGCACU
rnacentral:lncRNA from 1 species